UUCCUCUUGUCCUUUCCUUUUUUUGUAAUCUGUUAAUAACUUAACAGUGAAUUAUGCAAAUUGCCUUAAUCAGAGGAAUAAGUUUGGAUUAUUAUUUCACUUUAUGUCAGUAUUCAUUAUGUGCUAGUAGAUUUCCAAAUACAAAAAGAUGGUAUCUUCUCCAGAAGGGCUAAACUACGAUGCCACAGCCAGAACUCCAUUACUUUGAGUGACGUUAUUAACACAGCGUAGCAGAAACAUUGUCAUAUAUUUCCUUUCAGCUGUGAGUAACUCUUAAACUAAAUCCACUGGGCAGGAACUUGACGUAGCUUUUUUAAAAAAAUUCAGCAGGAAGCAUUCUUUUUUUUUAGGUAUGAACUUAGUGGAAAAUAGUGGAAAAUGGGCAAUGGUUUUUGCACAUUUUAACAUUCCUAUGUUUAUUUGCUUUGAACUAGCAUACUCUUGUAGAUAUAUUUUGGACAUUAUUGAUUUGUCUUUUCAAUGUUGCUGUGAAUGUCUGAAUUAAAAAAGUUAUGUACUUUGGGAAACUGUGGCUUUUCUCUUUGUGGGUAAGUUGUAGCAGUGAUGAUGAAGGGUUGCUGCAUGCUGUGGCUGAUUUUUUUAAAUUUUUAUUUGAAUAUCCCUAUUGGCUCUGUGGCAGGCUCCAUUAAUAGGUCCACUCCUGUGUUUGAAAGUAGGCAUCCACUUAAGUACCUUGUUUGGUAAGGACUUCUGUGGUAAGUGGCGGAAUGGCUUUGGGGAGCGCUGGAUCUGAGCUCUUCCCCUUGCCCGUGAGUCCUCACAGCCCGAUGUGCUGCGGUGGCUGCAGUGUAUUUAUGUGCCUAGAUUAGCAGUGUCCUCUCCUGGACUGGGCACUUACACAAGGAGGAAACUGAAGCGCUGGAGGAUGUUUACAGAGAGGGCAGUGGGCAUUGCUGUUAAUAUUUUAGAGAGCCUUUUAAGGGCUGUUAUAUUAUUAAUCUGAUAUCUUAAUAGCAUGCAAAAUGCAUAAAAGUUGUGCCUACAAGAAACAUUCCCAAAGUACCUUAAUCCUUAUAUCGAUAACACUACUAUUGGGUUACACGCUUUUAAUCCCAGAGGAGUUGUCGCCUGACAUUAAACUGUCCAAAUAGUAUUUAUAUCUGCUGCUGCCCUGCAAGAUCACUUAACCCUGCACAGCAGUUUAAAAGUAGUUAAUGACAGACCCGGCAUGACUUGCCCCUUAUGAAUGAUCACAUAAGUUCGACCUGUGCUGUCAUGGUUUAUGGAGGAAGGCAGUUUGUCCAUAGCCUGCUUCAGCCACAGCAGGUAAUUUGAAAUGAAAUGAGACAGUUUCUACAAGCAGAUUGAUUUGGGAAUCUUGCCUGUUCUUCCCUUUGACCCUUGACAAGUUGACACUACAAAGAUUGUGACUUUAAAAAAUGAUUGGGUGCAAAUACAUUUAGGUAGAUGAUUUACUAUGUGUUAAAGCAAGGACAGUGCAUUUAGAAUGGAGCUGUGAGGGAAGGUAAUUGUGAACUUUAACAACUCAUGUUUUAUGUUUCUGUAUCUUAUUAAUUAUCUGACUGGGCGAAUCUUCUGGCAACAGUGGACCAAGUACUUUAUGAGAUAAAGUCUGUGCGAGUCCACAGAUUCUGCAUAUCAGCAUUCAGAAUUUUACCUAUACAGAAAUAACUGUGUCUGACUGAGAAAUUCGAUAGGAAUACUUUAUUUGAUUGGACAGUAAGGGUUAAGUCUGAAGCAGGACUUCUGAAUGUAUAGGUUUCCCAAUCCAAAGAUGUCUUUAUUUUAUUAUCCUUUUGCAAAUGCAGUCAUGCAAAUAAAAAUAUUGAAAUAGUAAGAUUCAACAUAUGAUAGAUAACUGGCAAAUAGUGAAAUAAUGAAAUGAUGCCAGAAAGAGAGAGAAAAUCACAAUUAUGUGUCUAUAAAUAUUUUGGUCUUCCAAAGGCUACACCCUCUUGGUUAAAAAGAAUUAUGUGCAUUUUACAAGAUACUGUAUGAAGAUUUUGAGUGCCUUUCUGAUUUAUGUAAUUGAAUUUUUCCCCAAACCAUUUUGUGAUUAGUUAUGUCAUUUUAAAACGAAUUAGCUAAGAUGUAUUGCUUCUGAAGAAUGAUGCAGGUUGGUAUGUAAAGCACAUAUACAAAUACUGCUGGAGAACGUAUAGUAUGAAUUUCACGAUAACUUUAAUUUGAACAUUUAAUUAAGUCACAGUCCUAGAAAGCAAAAACUUAUCUCUGUUAAACCACCUACCUCUAAAUGUGCUAUGAGUGUGCAGUUUUAAAUGCAUAAGACAAAGUAAAUGUUUGCACAGUCAAAGUUCAUCUUUUUGCAGGUCUUUCUCCUGGUGUCUGUUUGAAAUGCUUUGCGUGAAGCAUAAUUUUGAAGAUGCUUGUAAAAAAAAAAAUUACAAAUUAUUUAAUACCCUUUUGACUGUCUUCACUGAACUAUGUUAAAAAUAUUUUGCUGAAAUGUUUCUUUAUGUUGUCCAUUGGGUUUAAUAGACAUGCCAUUUAAUAAGCUCUCUACCUGUAAGGAUAGACUAUUUGACCUUUGUGACCUGCCAGUGGUAGACAUAGUAUAAGAUUGCUUUGUGAAAUAAAGCUGUCGGUAACAUCAACAAAAUAAAAAAUGAUCGUAUUCCAAUACUCUCUGCUGAGUACUAUGACAGCACUGAAAUAUGGAAUAAAAUUGAAAGUAGAUUAGUUUUGGGUCCUAAGUCAUGUUUUGACAAGAUAUAAGAGAGGAGAACAUAUCUUUGAACUUUUAGUUUUAAAGUUUUUUAAUGAAAAUAUUUAUCAUUUUGUAAGGUUCCUUCUUUCUUUAUCACAACUGGGCUGUAUAACCUUAAAACAAUCCAUUCUCUUAUUGUGAGGGAUAUAAAUACUGUACUAUCUUUUAUAUUAAACAUCAUAAAGGAUACAUGCACAGUAUGAAAUUGCUUGACACUUGCAAGUAAAGGACUGUCAUGUUAAUAAAAAGCUUAUUGGAGAGGUUGAAAAAUCAGUCAUUAAUAAGCCACAUAUUUUUAAACUAUGUAAAGCAUGUAAAUACUGCAGACAAGAGGGCAGUUUUUGCCAUAUUUCCUCCUCUCUCUUUGAAAUGCUUAUGGUUGAAAGCAAUAGUGUAAAUAACAAUGAUCAUUGCCUGUUCUGUGGUUAUUGUAAACUUCAAAUGAUUUGAAAAGAAAUUCAUUAAUAUUUUAAGUUACGAUGAUUAAUCAAAUGAAAUUAAAGUUUUUUUUUUUUUUCUUUGGGGGGAUGAGUGGGGGAAGCGACACAACACUGACAUGAUUGAGCAUGCUAGCAUUUCUGUAACUUGCUUUCAGUCUCUUCUGAAAAAGACUACCUACCAAAAUAUAGACACAUAUUCCCAAGUCACCAAAAUCCACUUUGUAAAAAUAGCUACACAACAUGGAGAGUGGAGGAAAAACUAUGUUAAAAUGUUGUGAUAAUCUUUCUGGCUUCAUCUGCAUGUAUAAUAAAUACAAAGACAAUUGAUUUAAAUAUCUCUCUAUGGUUAACAUUGCUGGCUUUUUACUGGUUCAUUUUUUUUCAAAUUACUUUAAAAAGAAAUACAAAUGACAUAAGCUGUUGACUGUUUUUUCAAGCAAACAUUGGGAAUAAAAAGGUGACAAAUCCAAAAAGUGAAAAAAAUUAUUAUGAUUGCAGCAGGGAGUAAAUUAGUUGACAUAACUCUUAUAAAAUGCCUUUUAAUUCAGUUCUCCUCAUUUGGCUCUGCUGUUCUUUUAAGUGCUCAAUUGCUAGUUAUUGCAAAUACUUUUUUUUUUUUUUUUUUUUCUGGAAUAUUUACAAGUUAGCACACAUGUUUUUAUAGUAGUUAUUUUUGAAGAUGUAGAAAUGAAAUAUGUUUCAUGUAUGAAGUCACAACAUUUCUACCAAGGUAUUGGUCUGUCUUUAAUUUCAGCAAAUCAGGAGAUUCUCUAAACACUGUAGGAAAUGCAAGUAUUUUUUUUUACACUGCCCCAUAAACAAAAAUAUUCAUAGAAAAUCAGGGAGCAGUGUAGGGAGAUUGUCUUUACAAUGCAUUUAAGAGGACUUACGGAUUUUUAGCAGAGUUUAAUCAUGCUCUAAGACUCAAAAGUUUACUAAAAUAAUUUGAUCAGGUAUCAAAGGAAUAUUUUUAGGACCAUAUUCAAAUUAUACCUUGAGAAGACUGAAAUGAAGAAAACUAGAGAAACUUACAGGAAAAUCAGCUUGGUCUGUAUUGGACUGUAUUGUUAUUUGUUCCACUGCUUUACGUUUGCCCUUUCUAAUGCUGUGAAAGCAAAGUAAAUGGAUUAUCCUUUGGCCCUACAGAUGGUUUGAGAUGAUCUGUUGCUGAGAUCACUGGUGGGAGCAGUGUUGUUUUACUCUUUGAAUUAGGUUAAUCUCCAUUACUAUUAAUUUCUGUGAUUGUAAAGAGUGCAUGUCCCUGGCAGCGUCAUCUUUGCCUGGGGAAUAUUUUGAAGUCUCAGCACUUCAGGAUCAUUUCGAUGCUGACUGCCAGCAUAGCUAUUUAGAAAACGAGGCUGUGGAGGAGAAUGUGGGCAUUUCAGCCCGCCAGCCGGGAAUCUUCUUGUUCCACUGUGGUUUAAGGAAGAGUACUCUGCUGGAAACAUGAAGUGCCUGUUUACAGCUGGGAAUACCUCAGGAAAAGGGCAAACUAGUCCUGGCCCAGUGAAGUACUGAUUGUGUGCGCCAGCAAGGUAAACGUGGCUUGGUUUGUCAGCAGCAGUGUGCAGCCACGUUGUGAAUUCGUUUGAGCCAACUGAAGAGGUUCCUCUAAUCACCACCCAAAUUGUGAAUUAAUACGGAUUUUGUAGAAGCUUGUCCUGCUGAAGAUGAGCAGUUAGGUACUGAACAGCACCACGAGGAAAGCAGUCCAUCCCAUGGCCUGGUUGUAUUCCAUUUCUACUCCUUUGUUGAUUUACUUUACCAGUCAGGGAGUGGCAGCUGAUAACAGAAGACUAAAUCAGCUGCAUCAACCCUGUCACACGGUGAAAGGUGUGUGCUGCAGCCCCUACGAACCGGAGCCAGAGCAGAUGCUGCAGAGUCUAUCGCUGGCUGGCUGCCAUUCGCUGGAGGUUUUGAUUAAUAACUUCCAAGGAAGAAAAGAAAAGACUUUUACAAUGAUGGUUUGUCUUCAGUUAUUCUGGUGAAGGUGGAAUGAAAGUUUGGUUUUUCAUCUGACAGGAGACGUAAUGGUCCUCGUGAUGAAAGCAGUGACCUAAGAUUUUGGAGAUCUGUUGGAUACUUGAUUUUACCACACACUCCUUGAAUAAACCAGAAAAGUCCUUCUGUGAUUAAGCAAGUCACCCGCAGAGCAGGGAUGGCAAGGACAAUGUUCUUCUGUCUUCAGACAGGAUAGCCCCACUGUGAGGGUAGUUGGCACAAAUGGAGACGUGGUAGUGAUUUUGUGCCAAGUUUCGGUAUGGUGCUGGUCAAACUUUAUUGCAAAAAUCCCUGUGUUACAAGUUUCAAAAAGAUUAGCAAAGGCUCCAAUCUCUGGUGAAGAGGAAUCUGAAGAAACUCUUCUUUCACAUAAGAGACUUUAUUUGAAAACCAUAGGAAGUGGAUGCAUCAGAAGAUGUUUUGAGAUAAAGGUGACAUUGUUGAUUUUAAGUAUUUCACUAAGCAAGAGCUUCCUUGACCACACAAAAUGACAGAGAAGGUAAGAUUUUACUUAUAUAAGGGAGCCCCGAGAGGUGUCAGGACAGAAAACUAUUACAAAACCACAGUUUUCAUGUUUGACAGGGGUCAAGCAUUGUGCCCGCUGUAGAUGAGCCAUUUGGAGCCAGAUUGUCAAUCCAAAUGCAAGCUGCUCCGUUUCCUGUUUAUGCCUGUGCAGAGUUACACAUCCUGACUCGCUUGCCUUCAGCUGCAGGUUUUUCCGCACUCCCUAGGAGAUUUCUUCCUUAAAAUGGCUUGUUAUUUAUCAUUUAAGUAAGCCAUUGGAAUUUUGUUAAUUCCUGUUUUACUUAGCACAUGCAAAAUGAUAUCAUUAGCUAAAGGAAGAUAAUGUUAAGGUAGUAAGAGUUACUGAUACUGCUAAUUAAGUGACUGUUGCAAAACAAAAUCUGAUCAGACUCUGCAUGAAUGUAGAGAACUGAUGCCAAGUUUACUGCUUCACAGAGGCCUGGCCUAUUGUAUAUCUGACCUGAGGUUAUCAGCAAUUAAAACCUGGUCUAGUAAUUUAAAAAUAACCUUUUGGAUAUUACAAAUUUACAUUUUUCCAUCUGUCAUAAGAUGAAUUAAAUAUUCUUAGCUGAGGCGUUUGCCUGUUAUGUUUAUGAAGUUCCUCUAUGAACAAUUUGUUUUUGCUAUUCAGCAGUAUAGCUUCUAGUUGACUUCUUAAUUUCCUCCCCUCUCCCUCCACCACGUCCACUAAGGUGAACUGAAAAUCAAACAUACCUGGCAGAGUUCACUGUGCUUUGCUGUUUCCCCUAAAAUCAGAGCACAACGAGAAAUAGUUCUGAUAAUAGUUAGGUUAAUCCUGUCAGAGCCCUAUUUUGGAGUUCUGCAUUAUCUACUUCAUGCCUUUCUUUAAAAACUGAAGAUUUACUAAAUUUAAUAGGCUUUCUUACAGAUAGCAAGGAACUUCCAUUGUUUACCUACAUGCUUGGUUUAAAAGCUAAAGGUGAGUAGUUAGUGAGGAAGGAGAUUGCAAAUUUGGAGAUUGCUAUUUGAUAAAAUGACUGACAAUGAACUACAUAUUCCUCCCCCCCUACCUUUUUGUUGCUUUACUGUAAUUUGAUAUCAAGUCUUUAACACAUGCUGCACUGAUUUGUAAGAGCACUGGGUUGAAGCUGGAAGGGAUUUUAUUAAUCCAGCAGUAGGUUUUCCCUUAAAAUAACUGAUGCAUGAUAUGAGCAGAGUAAGAGUAUAAUAAAAACUUAGAGUAUGUUGAACCUGCAUAACUGGAAGGGAAGGAAAAAAGAAAAAGAGACCAUUCUGUAGCUUUUCUGCAAAUCUAACAGAAUUAGGAAGAGUCAUAUUUUCAUCAUGCUCAGGUUUCAACAUGAUCAGGGGUCAACUGGCCUAGCUUUAAAGUUUAUGGCCCUCUUGCCAUUGACACUAGCAAAGAAUAUAUUGUGUCAGGUACUGACAGAGAUCUUAACAGAAAUAUCUAAGCACUACUAAUGAAAACAAACAAGAUUUUGCUUUGAUCGCUUAAUCCUAGUUUGUGAAUAACCUCGGUAAUUCAAUAGAGCUCUUUUGCUUAUGAAUAUAGCUUGUAUUGCUUUGGUACCUAAAUACUUGCAAAGGAUUAAUGGGUUUUAAUUUAGCACUACCUCUAUAUGAUAGAAAAAUCUCACUUUUCCCGUUUUACAGGCUGAAACUGAGCAACUUUAUGUAGUAAUCUGUGUAGUUUAGUUUGGCUGCCUGAAACUCAUUUUAAGCCCUUUUUUCAGGCCCAACUCUGACGUGGGCUCAGGCACUCAUCCCUCAAACUUACAUACCCAAGUUUCACACCUCACACUGAUGUUCUAAACUUUGUUACUAUUCAAAGCUUCUUCCCUCCCCCUGCCAAAAAAUAAUUAAAUAAAUAAUAAAAAUCCCACCCCACAAACAAACUACCCCAAGCCACUAGUGAGCUGUGGAAAAGACAUUACAUAAAAUAUCAUUAAUAUACACAACUGAAUGAAUUCUUUUUCUCUCAAGGGAUGAUUAUAUUUAAUGAUCAUGUAGAGCUGGGGUUUGGAAAUUUGGUUUUAAUUCAUGUUAAACUAAUCAUUAAAUGUAAUCAAGUUUAUUUCCUAUGUUAUUUGAAGUCAAAAAGGUGGUCAGAGUCUCUUUCCAGACAUUCCCUGUUGUCUUGAUAAAUUUUGCUAAAUAACAGCUGAUGAGAGUAUUUAUAUCUUGAGUAAAGUGAGUAUUGUUCGAUUAUAAUUUUCUAUUUUUAUCAUCAUUUAUUGUUUGCUUCUUAAAUUAUAGUAGUACUUGAUGUAAAUUGCAGAAAAUACCAUUUUAAACCUUUUUUCCUCAAUUGUCUUUUCAGUACACAUAACAUCAUGAAAACACACUGCAAUACCCAGGUUAACUUUAGAAUGGUUAAGCAACAAUUCCCUUGAUGACUGUUCACAUUGUGAGAAGCACCAACACACAUGUUUUGUCUAUCAGGCCAAAAGAAUAUCCCAUUUAGGGCUUUUCCCCACAGUAAUCAAAGCUGAAGACAGCACAACAGCAUUCCCUUCAGAGGAUGCAGCAAAAAACCGAGCACGUAUGUUAAAGACUAAGGCCUGGUACCAGUUCCUUUUUGCACUAUAUGCUAGUGUGACUUCAGUUUCCUAUAGUGAAGACACCCAAGGUAAGAAGUACAAGACUGCAGAUUAAUGUAGCAAAAAAGCUGUGCUUCGCGUAAAGCUCCUUAGGUUCAGACUUGUUGCUGGUCAAAGCUGGCCUAUUGACCCCAGUUCACGCUAACUGGGUAAACCUGCAGGUCUCUGCUAAGGUAUGCUUGCAGCACAAAGGGUCUCAGGCUCUGAUUAAAUGCAGAACGCAUGUAAAUAGCCUUUCCAGGUGUUUUAUUUAAUGUAAUACCAACCUGAGCCUGAUGCCUUCCUUUACUUAGGAGGUGAAAGAGAUGGUAUGAAAUACUUGUAGCUUUGAAAAUUUUAAGACACAAGACUUGUUUUCCUCUUAUGAUUGCCACUUUUUAAAAAAAUAUAUAUUUGUAGCAAAACACCCUCUGACUCUGAGAAGCAUCAGAUGCCUUUUUCUGGAAAAAAAUGGCUGACAUAAAAGUAAGCCUAUGGAUUUGGCAAAGAUGGUAAACAUUGCAGUUAGUUUCACAAGAUUCUUUUCCAUUUGCAUUAUGCCUAUAGUUGAGAAAUAUAAAUAGUAGUCUCAUUGUUCUGCACCUUGGGAUGGCUUGCUGGAUGCCACUGAAGAUUUUGAUUAAAAAGAAAACAAAAUACCACAUAGCCGUAUUUUUAAUCAGACCCAAUUUUGCCAGGCUCUUUGUAGAAUUCUCACCUGCUUUGAUUAUUUGAUAAAAGCUAAUUUUGUUGCCUUUCUUUGUCUUUGUUUAGUUUAUUUUUUUUUCAAAAUUCUUAACCUUUCCAUACUUUCAGUGUAUUUUUAAAUUAUUGCAAAAAUUCCCCUUCCUUCUCCUGUAGCUAGCAGGAAGCCAGCAGGAUACCAAUACUGCUUACUCACGGAAAUUAAAAACAAAACAAUAGGUAAGAAAAAUAAAGAAAUAGAACAAACAAGAGACACUAUCUUUUCUGUUAAAGCUUAAAAUGCUGGGCAAUGCUGGUUUAAUAUACAGGAGCUUUAAGUAUUGAAGCUUACCCAGGAGCGUUUCUGCAGAACUUGGUUUCUGUUUGUUUCAGUGUCUGCUAUUAAAAGACAGUGUUGAGUUUCUAGCCCUAUUUGUGUGCCCAUAAAAUGGGUAAAAGAGCAGUAAGCUGGUAGCAGCAGCCCUGUAGCCCUGAAGCUAUAUUUAAGGUGUGAUAGUUUAUAGAGGCAGUUGUUUUGUUUAACUAUUUUUCUCAUAGGCCUGUAGGUGUUGACAUUUUUGGGACUCACCAGGCAGGCACAGCUGGUGUUGGGUUGUCUGGACAUGUGCUCAUUCGCCCUCUCGGUGUGCAAGGUCUCGUACUCUCCUGUCCUAUCCUGACUUACUCGAGCUAUUGUGCACUCCUGCUCCCACACAGAACUGCAGUGCAUGCCAGGGGAGCACUUUGCUUUGCGUGCAGAGUCCCACACAGGGGCACCAACAAUCCUUCAUUACCCAAGUAUGCUCUGAAGACCUGCUUGUGCUGUUGAAAAUGGCCUUAGUUAAAGAGGAAAAGGGGAGAGUAUGCUUUCAUCUUCUUUUCUCUUCCUGCUCAUGAUGCUGGUGAUACAAUUGUGUGACGAAGUUGCCUAUUUCUCCUUGAAUCUAAGUGUAGCUCCUUAGGGUAUCUAUUUUAAACAUUUGUUGGAUAAAAUUAUUUAAUUUACACUUACGUAACGUGUAACCAACCUCCCAUCCCCUUCAAAAGCCCUCAGUUCCAAGUUCUCUGUCUCAUAGUUUCACCAAAAUUGCAUAUAUUUUAUUUUUUUACAUCUUUAUUCUGAGCUCAUCAGCACCACGGACAUAUGGUCAGAGACUUGUAUCCAAUUUAACAUCUUCACUCCAGACUUUGGAAGAAAUAGACUUCUCCAUUUGCCACUGACACGUGUGUGAAGAACAGCUCAUAACAUGAUUGAACUCCAUUGAUUUUUCAUAAAAGUUUAAUAAGAUGAUACAGGUCAAAAGCUUUGCAAAAUUUGCAAUAAAUUCCUGUGGUGAUCUGAACAAAUCUUAGUGGGGAGAGCUGACACCAGAGGAAUUUAAAUACACGUUGAAUUACAUAGAGGACUUGAAUUUUUUGGCUAAUCAUUUGAACCUUGGAUUUCAGAUGAUAAAUUUUCUAACACUGCAUGGCUCUCCUUUUUUGUUCUGUUUUUCCUCAUGCACCUAAUUUUUGCAGGUGACUUGCACAACAUAAUGACUGUUUUAGUCCCUCGGCCCCUCCAGAUUUUGGUAAUGGAUCUCAGAGAAAUACUUGAAUCACUCCCCAGAAAAGGAAGCCUCAAUUUUACAGGUCGAGUGGUUUUGUCUUCAGCAAGACUCAUCCAAGGCAUGAGCUCGGAACUGGGGACGCGGCCUCCUAAUGGAGGCGCCGCUACCUCACGCCUGUCACGGUGGGGAGCUUCAGCCGAAUGCUUUAAAAUUUAAUCUUUUUGUGCCUCCUGUUGGAGAGGAGCAGUGCCCUUAGGAAAGAGGUUCUCCGUAGAUUGCCAGCAGAGGAGAGGCUGAUGGGUGGCAUGAUGCAUGCUGGCACCCAUGACACCAGCGUGCUGCAUCACCACUUGGGCAGCGGUCAGGCUGUGCCGCCUUCGCCCACAGCAUCUCGGCCAGCGCCUCUGUUGCCUGCUUGCAGUUGUUUCUCCUUCUUGAACAAAACAUUGCCAAGACGCUGUUGAUGCUGCUCAGCCAGAUUUCCUCAGGGCUCUGGCACACCAGGUACCUGUCAAUAAGCUGUAGCAGAAGUGAUUUAUGGAAGAUCUCACAGAUAAACUGAUAAAGAACGUGGCAGUCAUCGGUUUAUUACCAGGCCUGACCACACAGCCUGUGUGCUUGCCUAGAUGUGCUCUUCGAAGCAGGGUGUUUCCACAUCUGUUAAUCUUCAUGGAUGUUAUGUCCAGGCAAAGAAACCCGGCUUUCCUUUAACCUUGUGUCCGUGACAGACAACGGCUAUACAUUGGGCGGGACACAAUUCAUGAAAGAGCACAGAAGGUUUAUGUUUAAAAAAAAAAAAAAAAGGAAGAGAAGUUGUCAUUAAUUUUUAACUGCAAAAGUCUGCAGUUAGUUGAAAAGGAAACGCAAAAGAGCUGAUUAUUCUUGAGAUCAAAAUAUUGGAGCUGUUUUGUCAAGAAAGGCAAAUGCAGAGAAAAUAAAUUUACCACAGCCAUUUCCAGCUCCACAGCAUCCUGAAAAGGUGCCAACGGCACUGUCCAAGCUGGCACAAGCAUCAGGGGGAUAAGAGAGAGAGGGGAACGUGGCCUGUGUCUGCAGUAUGUCUCCAGUGCAUGGCUGACAGUCACACACAGACUUUCAAACUGUCUGCACAAUGUAUGGAACCUGCAUGGGAGGCUGGACUAAAACCUGUCAGCUCAGUGAAAAAGUGUUCUCAGGAGCAAAGGAAUGUUUAUCAAAGUCUUUGCUCCAUACAUCAUCAUUUAGCAUCUCUAAGAACUUUCAAGGACUGCUUUUUAAUUGUUUGGCUUUGCUACAGGUUUUGAUAGAUAAAGUGAAGGACUUCAGUGCUCUCUGAAGACUUAAGACAGUCUUCAAGACUUGAGUGCCGUCUGUCACAGCAAGUAAGAAAACACCUCCGUGAUGACCAGUCUGUCCCUAGAAGUGCCUAUAGUGGAGUCCAAUACGGGGGCCUACUCCUCUAAUCUCAGCUCUGGAGCUUCAGGAAGACUAAAAGCAAAAAGAUUUGCUAAUAUUUCUCUUACCCAACAGAAAUGGGUAAAAUGGGUAUGGAUUAUUGCCUAGUCAGGAGAGAGAGAGGAAAGCAACAGAGGUAUGUGAAGAGGUACGCAGCUGGGGAAGCACCACGGAGGACUGACUCAUGGAAAGAGAUUCUUUGUGAUUCUUUAAGGGAACCCUGCUGGACUGGUGUAAUAGAUCUGUCAAUCAUAAAACAUCUAGCUUGGACUUUUAGCAGAUCAAGUUAUGCAGUAUGCUAAAUAGUGAAUUAGCAGCUUCAAAGUAUGGAUUUUUUUAUCAUCAUGUUUAAAGAGAACUUCAUCUAAAAUCUUCCAAAACAGUUGUACAAUCCUGUGAAGAGAGACUGAUUGAAGGGAGCUUUGCGCCUACGCUGGGCAUAUUAGUCCAGAGGGACAUAAAGGGGCCUCCAUAGCAACAGGAGAAUUGGCAGCCAUACUUCGCGUAAUCACAUGCUGAAGCCCGGCUAAUGGCAGAAACCACUAGAGUGAGGAACCAUACAAGCCUGGAUAUGAGAGAACAAGUACUACACUGAACAGCAGAAUGAUGAUUGCUUGACCACGGGUGAUCCUUCUUUGUCAUACAGUCAUCUGCAGACUGCAGUUUGAAAGUAAAGCUGCUUCCUGAAAACCUUUUCAGCAGCAAAGCGGUAAGUCACUGAACUUGCAAGUUGGUCCCCGAGACAAGCAGAUUCUCUGAAGGCCUCAGCAAAUACAACUACAUCAGGAUACUAGAAACCUUCUCUGCAAGUGGGUAAGUCUAACAAAGAUGACAUUACCACAGAAAAUUCCUCAGGCAAAGCCCCUACAUGAUGCAUCAACACCUUUCAAUAAGGUACAGUUGAAAGAGCUACAAAAGGUUCAAGUAACAAAUUUCUUAAUUGAAAUUAAGUUAUGAUUUGCUUUAAAACACAACACUGUUGAGAUCUUGGUUAUCCCUCGUGUUCUUCUCUGCUGCUACUCUUAGAAUACAAAUCUAGGUGGAAAUAUAUAUUUGUGUGAUAACUGCCCGUCAAUCAGUAGUUUGAACAAUCUCAAAAAAGCUCAGAUGGUGGCACAUUUUUAGACUGCCUUUUUAAUCAGAAAGAUUUUGACCAAACUCAACAGACAGAAAAUUUGGCAAUGAGUGCUGUAGGUAUGAACAAAAUAAGCAGCUUGUCUGGGCAACUGAACCUACAAUUCAGGUGUUGUUUGUUGACUAUUGCCUGAAAAUGCAUGAACAGUGAGUGAUAAUCUGUACAGAGCUUUAGUAUGUACUCUGUGUGUGCUGGAUCUUGGAAGCUGGCCGUGUAUUGUUGGUGCAGAAGAUACAAAAGGAAAGUGCUCAAGCUGGAGGAAUUAAAUUUCUAUAAUUUAAAUUACAUGCCAUGUGGCAAGCCUAUGGAACUUGGUGUGUGGAGAGCAUAUUGGCAAUGAUUUACAAUUAACUUCCAUGUUGCAAAUCACUCCUUAGCUGUUUUCUGUUAUGAAAUUUGGAGAGUUGUAAAAUGCAUUUGUGCUACUUUAUUUCCUUUUGAAAUGGUAAUUACUACUGCUGAGGGGCAGUACUUAGUGCAGAAAAUGAAGUGUGCAGCGUAGGGAGGAACUUGUUUCUGAGGAAUUGCUGAGGAAUUGUAAUGAUAUGAAAAAAGAACUUUCCUGAAACACAUACACACAAAAGAGCUUCAUUUAUGAAACUCCAACCAAAUAAAUAACAAAAUAAAGUAAAACACAGUCUUUGUGUGCAAGGGACAGUAUUCACUUCUUUGUUGCUGACUGCACUUUUUUCCCAUCAAAGUGGGAACAGUGGAUUGACACAGGGAAAAACUCAUAAGCCAAUGGCUUGAGGGAAAUGCAGAUGUAUGGUAAUGUGAUAAGAAUGCCCUAGAGUAACAGGUUUGAGCCAAUGUGUUCGAAAAUUAUGAGUGUGCUUCUAACUACUAGCCCAUUUUAGAUACCUACGAUAGAACAGAAAAUGGUAUGGCCCUGGAGAGCUACAUGAAGUUUGACUUUUAUAUCAGAGGAGCAGAGGCUGUGCACUCUGAGUGGAGAGAGCAGGCCAGAAUAAGAAUUCUGCAAAUAAGGUUCUUUAUGUCCUUUGUGCUUUGGAAAGUAUGGCUUUUGAAAAAUAGAGAAGAAUCUGCAGGUUCAAGAGCACUAUUGCUGCAACAAGCCCAAGUCAGAAGUAGGCUCCUUGCAAAGGAAAAAGUGAAGAGGUGGUAAACAUUCUCUCUAAGAAUGAUUGUGUUACUAUGGAGAAAGAAGAAAACAGACACAAGACACAAAAAGGCUGAACUGGUUUUGGAUGAAACACUCUCGGUUCUGAUAGUUCAAGAGUUUCACAUGCUUUGGCUUUGAGCACCUGUUUCACAGGGUGAAGAAGGAGAUGUCUUCUUCAUGACUGGAUCCAUAGAACUGAUCUUCAAAAUCCUACUCCUUCCAUCCUUCUGCCCGUAUUUGAAUCACCUGAAACAUAUGGAUCUGAAGUCUCAAGACAGGGAGCUAUAGUGUAUUACAGGACAGAAAGUCACCUAUAUUACACCUUUGGCAACAGAAGCUGGUAAAGCACUGCAUUUGCCACACAAAUGUAUUUCACAGUGUUUUCCCGUUUUGUAAUCAAACUGCCGAGAAAAUAACAGCGAAAGCAGUAAGAAAUCACAAGAAACAGUGUCUUCAGACAAGAUGUGAAAGGAGAUGGUAUACUGAUGAAGAAAAAAUACAGAAAGGUUGUCUUACAUCCCAGGAGCUGCAGCAGUAACACUCAUUUCUGGAUGUCAGCUGGGAGGACGAACAACAAAAUCAGGUUACUUCUAAAAUGUUCGUAGUUUAUUUUUAGCUCACAUGUUGCAUGCACAUUGCCCCUUUCUCCAGUGCAGUGUGCAUAUGAAGUUCCCUGAGGUGUCCGAACUAGAUUCACUCUUUGGGACUACAUAGCUGGUUUACCUGAACUGCUGAACUGCCAGAUCCAGAGCUACACUGGAGCCCUAAUGCCCUGAGGCAGCUCUCAGGUGAGGGUGGAAUUCUACCUGUCUUCACAAGGCCUGUGUACAUCCUACAACACCAUCCUGUCCCUUAAUUGACCCAUGCUGGAAUGGAUUUUUUUAAAACCCCACUUUCUGAUUUCCACUGUAAGCAAGUGCCUACAAGCAGAGAACAUUCAUGAAAACUUUAAGAAAAAAGAUGAUCUUCUGGGACACUAAGGGAAGAGAGAAUAAUUGCAUUACAACAGGACAUUUUCUACAGGGACUGACUGAAAUGCAGCAUGCUCCUGAUCCUGCUCGCACUGAGAUUUUCUGUGACACCUUGCGGUUGUGCUGGGACUGAGGAUGCUGUGGGAAUGCCAGCUGGGUGGUGCAUGCAGAACUUGCUCCCUCUCUGAACCGGGCCUUUGCCACCAGGCUGCUCCACUCAUGCUUGGCUGCCUGCUCGAACCGUGCAUGGCAUCGUGCUGGUGCCGCAUCCCUGCCAGUUACGCCCUGCACUGAGCACAGCCCUACUGCAGCCAGCAGCAUCAGACCUAUGCACCUAACCUUCCUCCUCUCAGCCCAUUACAGAUUUUCAGUGUGUGAGAAGGCAUUAUCUGGCCCUGGGUCCUCAGCAGCUUGCUAUGAAGCAGCCAGUAGCAUUUGAUUUUUUGGAGGUGCCUGAUGUAACCACUGUGUUGAGGACAUUGAUAAAAGCGCAUGGGAUCGCUACUCUUGUUCUUUCCUAUGAGCUCAAGCACUGUGAAAACCCUUGUGAAAACAAGAUAUAGUAAGAGAGGUUGUAAAAAUCACAUACAUGAUUUUCCUGCUUUUAUCUUUACAUGGGCAUGUGUCAGUGUAAAAGAGCAGAUUAGACAGGCCGGCUUCCGUCUGGGCUGUAGACACACGUAUGCAUAAUUGAUUCCUGACAUCUUCUUCUCCCCCACGCUCUCCCCGCGAGGCCACCCCUGUCCAGCUAUGUAUGAAUGAACAGAAGUGUCUUUCAUCCCCCACUUGCCUCGUGGUUCAAAAGGAACUACGAAAAUAGCAGCAACAAAAAUCCAGCAGCCUGCCAAAAGGCCUGCACACGUCCCAUUCUUAAAGGCAUGUGAAAGGUUGGAGAGCUCAGCAAAAUUUUUAUGUACGGGAGCAGGCCCAAGGAAAACUCACACGCCAUAACCAAUUGUGGACAGAGGAUCAUCUAUCAGCAGACAAAUGCAGGAACUCCAGAAUGUCUCUCCUCAAAUGAAAUAAUAUAUCUUUGAAAGCCAAUGCCCGUUUUAGGCCUGAGGCCCAUAUAUCAAGCCUGAGAGGCUUGUGGAUACGCUCCAGGGCCAUUAACCUUCCACCUGUUUCCCCUUGUCCUUCAGGAUGAGACCCUGCCCUUGAUUUUACUCCCUUCCCCUGUUCAUCUUCCGACAGAGUGUAAAUGUAAAGCAGAGGGCCUGUGAAAUAAUUCAAAGGCAAUGGACCAGGGACAUGGUUACAAAUCUCUGCCACUGGCACUGUGACUUAUGCAGGCAGUUUGUCACACAUGAGCCAGGUGACCUCUGUGACAUAACAGAGAAAAAUAUCGCCCGAGAUCAAAAGAUGAGAUUCAGAGCGCUCUAACUAACUCUGGUGCAGGCAGCGGCGGCCCAGGCACGCCUGCCUUCCCAGCGCUGCCUGCCGGAGGGUGGGCCAUGCUCCUGCUAAUUGAACCCAUCGCAUUUGCUCUCCUCUCUACUCAAAUCUUCCCUACAACACAAACGUCAAAAUCUGUUUCCUCAUGAAGCUGCUCUUUUCCAAAACGAUAGCUAGAUGUAAAUUGACAGCAGACAGCAAAAUUCAUUCAGCAGAUCGAAAUGAACAUGUAGCAAUCAGUAACAUCAAAAAUGGUGAGUCCCCUUCGCAAAAGGGACUGUUUUAAGCUAGUAAGUUUUUAAAUGCUAAGUAGUAAUAAAACCUUGUAUGAGCACAUUCUCUCCCUGGUAUUGCAAUAAGAAGCCUUCGAAGUCUAAAACAUUUACUGGGAUUCAACUGUCAUGCCAGAUACAAUGUAAGUCGAGUUAGUAUUUAAAAUGAUGUAAUGCACCUAGAUAACACAACAUCUGUAUUGAUUCAUAUUUUACCAAGAGACAUACUACAGAACCAGAAUAGCAGUCAUUUGAAAUAAAGCCUAAUCAGAUUGAUUUUUUUUUUCAAUCUUGAAGUCAUUUUUCAAGCUGUGUACUGUAUAGGAAGUUUCCCAGCUGUUUUCUACAUUCAGGACUUCUCUGCUGGGUGCAGACAAAAGAAGAAGACCUAAUACAGUAUUUCUCUUUCAACUCCCCAAAACCUAAUGGUAUGUCUGGUAUGGACAUUUAAUUUUGUCUAUUUCAUAAAUUAAAAGAAAACCACACAACUGUCACAGUGUCCCAGGCAUGAUGAUGAAAUGAGAAAUACAACUGUAGCUAGAUCAGCCUAAAUCCCAUCUUAAUCCUAAAUCACUUUGUCACUUGCCAACACCUAGUUGAUGAAAAACUCAGUUUAAUCCAUGAAUAUAUAUAAAAAUACACAUAUGCAAGCGCAAACAAACAUUCAGCACAGUACUUACACGUGCUAUACACUACCCGAUCAGCUAAUUUCAUUGUCUUAGCACACGCUGACUUUGAAAAAUUUCAUAGAAUUCAAGUAAAAUCAUGUGAAGGGAUAGGGUUCCACUAUUAAAGCAUUUCACAAUUCACUAAAUCUAAAGGCAUGAAAAACUUGAACUAUGGCUGGGACUUGAGGCUAAAUCACUGCAGUAGUUAAAAAGAAACGUACUGCUGAAAAUGUCAUUGACAUAAGCCUGAUAUAGAGCAUUAAACUUCUCUGUUGCAAAACACUGCAACAGUAAACAUAGUAAAUGUAAAAUUAUUAUUAUAAAAGGAUUACUGUGAAGUGUUACCACAUGUUUUUUGUAAAAAUAAGGCAGUUGUUUGAUUUUACAGUGCUAAAAUCGUUUGAGUCCUGUAAUUACGCACAACUUUUCCUUUUUUUGUGUCUCUAAAGGAAGCCUGCCAGUGAUACAAGAGUCAGCAACUACAUGCAAGUUCUGCCACUCCUUUCAGUGAACUCCAAUUCAGAUCCCAGAUGUCUUCAUUUUUGAAAAUACCUGGAGCAUUACUUUUUGAUGUAAAAUAUAGGUGAUGUAUCCAAGGGUUCUGGCAGUCAGAUCUUUAGCUCUCAUUGAGACUCCUACUGAAUAUAUUCAUUUGUAUUGAGGCCUGAUUUCACUUAUGAAAUUUUCACUUAUGAAUUUUCACUUCUACAUCCUUUUUUUCUUAUAACAUAUAUUUGAUGUAUCCCUGAAAAAUUAAUAUUUAAUUUAAAGAGCACCUAGCCUAAUCCAUUGCCUUUAACAGUGAGUACGAUCUAGUGCAUCUACUUUUGUAAUAUUCAUGAAAUUUGGAAAUCAAGACUAGGCAUUAUAUUUUACUCUGAGAGGUUUUUUCUCAUUUAAUGUUUGAUCAGUUCUGAAUGCCCAAAUGGCCUACUAGAAUUUCCAGGGCAGAAAGAAACUACUUACAGAUGUUAUUAUAUUUAGAAAAAUAUAUUAAUGUAAUAAAUUAUAACCUUUAUAAAUAAACAUUCUCAGAUACACAUAAAAUGUGUUGUCCCAUUUACCUGCUGCCAUGUGCUUUUUAUGUAAUUAAAUACUGAGCAUCAAAUACUUUAGAAGGUUACAGCACCUUCAUUCUAAAGGAGAAAAGAUGGUUCUUGUUGAUAAUAUAAUAGUUCUGUGCCGAUGAAAAAGACUUAAAUUAAUUGGUUGAAAUACUACGCAGAUACUACAAAUCCAACUAAUUAUAUUUUUGAGUCCUUAUGCCUCCCUCAUUUAGUCAUUUAAAACAAAAGAAAACAAGAGCUAUUUAACAUUUAAAAAUAAUCAUAGUAAUUUGGGGCAUGAAUCAUUCCUUACAUUCUUUUCCAGCUACAAACAAUUUCUGUUGGGAAAAGUGCCAUAUAGUAUCGACAGUGACAACAAAUUGUAUUGUCCAGUGAACAUCUGUUUCCGACUCCCACACUGAUAUUGCAGGUUGGGUACUUCUGAGUUAGUCUUCACAGGCUGCCCGACCACAGAGGAACUGGAAAUUACUGGUACGUUCAACUUUUAUUAUUGGAACACAGGAAAACUUUAUCAUCAUGCUGGGAAGUUCUAUAUCUUUUGAAAUAUUGGAAGGAGGGUUAUGUUAGCACAGAAACCCACAUGGGAUAGUUCUUACGAAGAAGGAGAAAAGUGGCUCCUGUUCAUUGCAUCCCUCUGUAUAUGCAGAUAUGCAAGUCUGAGAUCAAAAUGUCAAAUGUUUGUUUUUAAUAAAACAAGCAGCAGGGCAAACAAAGUACCAGAUUCUGCCAGUCUUGCUCCAUAGGUAAUCUGUGUCCCUAUACAAAGUACCCUGAAAUCCAAAGCACAUGUUACUUCAGGCAGAGCAGGAUGAGGUUUAGUAUGGGUCGCACAAUGCAGCUCUAGGGACUGUUGGUCUUGAAGAAAGAAUUGAUCUUUUCUAAUUCACAUUUAUUCCAUCAAGGUACUAUGAUAGCAACUUAUAGAGAAAGACUGUGUUAGCUAGCUAAAGCUAUUACUGUUAAAAUAAAGCAAAACACAAAGACCUAAGCAUUUUUUUUUUUUUUUUUUCAAAAUUGAGGUGGCUUUGUUAGAAUGAGCAAUGCCAUGUUUUUCAUGGUUAUGUCAACAAUUGUUAUUCGGUUUGGAAGAAAGUUCAGCUUUGGCAGGGACAGAGAAGAAAUGAAGAUAUACUCCUGAUAGGUGGUAAGUGCCAGUUUGAUAAUGCUCUCACAUCUGAUCUGUAAGUACAUCAGCCAGUGCAGAAAAAAAGUGCUGAAAAGGAUUCUCUUUUCCAGAAAAAGAGGAAGAGAGAAACUCCACCAAAAUUUAUAUUAAUUAGAGUGGCUAGCAUGCAGGGGAAUCAAAGGCAAAACAUGUGGAACUCCCGCUGGUGAAGAGAAGACUGUGCCUUAAAGGAGAGGGAUGCAAACGAAAAAUAAAUGCUUUUCAAUGUCCUCAUAUGAGCUAGCCAUAUAAACACUCAUUUUGAGUUCUAACACUUCCUGAUGCAAAUGCUCUCACUGAAAAUUCAUUCUUAGUCUGAAGGGAGCUUUGUCCUUGACCAUACCUGCAGAAUAAGAACCUAUGUGUCUUAAGAACGGCAGGUCUCAACAAAGUAAAAUAAUUGCCACAUCCAUAUAUCUACUUAAUGUUAUUGUUGUUGUUAUUGUUGCAGUUGUUACUUACCCUUUGUUAUAAACAGUCCAAGUCCUGCAUCAGAAAAAUAGUUUUUUGAUGCUAUUCCUUAUAGCAGUUUUGGAUUUUUCAAAGAUUAGGAAGUCUGUGUAGAAUCUUAACAAUGUGGCCAAUAUGCAAACACUGUUGGGAAAUUCUAGGUCUCAGGCAGAAAACUGCCUGAUCUUGCUUUUCAUAAGUGUAAUAUCAGUACAUAUGUACCAAUCAAAACAAUACUGCAAUAGUAUUUGUUUGAGAGUCUUUCUGUCUCCUCCUUUUCUGUCCAUGCAUAGGCAGAAAGAACAUCAGGGAUUGUGGAGUGGUAACAAAAGAAACUGAAACUAUUUUAGACCAGGGUGACAUGGGCAUCAGCUACGACAUUAGUCUUGGCUUCCACUUGCACACUAGGCAAUUUGUACCACCACCUAAUUUAGUUUCAUGCCUCCCAGCAGCCUUUCUACUGCCUCCCUACCAUCUCCUGCAAUUCUCUCAAAUGUCAUGGUUGUUAUGCCCUAAAACUACACAGACAAGUGGGAGCAGAACUGGAGACUUUGGGCAAUUAUCUCUUGUUACUUUCCCUGGAUUAUUUCACUGCUACCUGAAGGACAGUUUGGAUUAGCUACUGUUGUGGCCUUUUUUGGGGUGAUUUUUAUUGAGCUAUGGGAGUAGCAAGACGGAUCAGAGACUGCAGGCCUUUCUGAACUAUCUACUCUGAACUCUCAUCUCAAAAAAAAUCACAGUUUCCUAAAAGUAUGCACAAGGAGUUCUAGGGAGUGUCACUGAAGCACACCAAGUGUUGGUGAAGAUCUCACCAUGGGUCAGUGCAGCCCAUGGCCACAAAUAACUGCAGUUACUGCUGCCAGCAUAGUGACUGUGAUACUAAUAUAAUUCCCAAGAAAGAGAAAGGAAAAGAAGAGCCAAUAAAUAAGAAAAAGAGGAUUUAGAAACAGCACGUAGCAAAUGAAACUUAAACACUUGACCCAGGCAGCUGUACAGAAGAAAACAGGAAACUUGCAGUUGCUGUAAGUGAAACUGGAAAUGCACUAUUCAAUAUCUUAACUUGCACUCCUUCUUUGGAAAAAUUUCUCAUCAUCUGCAGUAAAGUUUUCUUCCGAUAAGCAAUACAGGACCCAUACACACAACUUGACUUAUGCUGAAAAUCACUAUACGCAGGACUGACUUCUUAGCUCUGUUUAGGAGAGAGAGUGAUUGUAGGUGCACAGGGAAUUCUGGGCACCGUGUGGAGAGGAAUGUAGUUCCCAGCGCUCUGUUACUCACCUCUCCCCACAAUUUUAAGAUGGAUGAAAUGGAUUUGGGGCUGACUGGACAGCCCAGGCACUACCUCCCGUAAGGCACUACAACAACUUACUUCUAGAGUGGCAAGGGAUUAUGACUCAGCACCACCAGUCACUGACGUUGCUCACUGCUCAGGACAAACUGCAAGACUGCAGUAAGUAUUCCCCAAUAAAUACUGAAAGGUAUCCAGAUGAGACAAACAGAGGGUGCUGACUAUUACACCAGAAUAAAGACACAAUUCUUCGUCACAUCCAGUGUCACUUAGUCAGGAUGAUGUUUCCUGUAUUCAGCAAACAUGCCAGUAAAAGAAUUUCCUUGGCAUACAGACAACAUGGAAAUGUCCUUUUAAAAAUCAGUUAAUACGAACAGAACUCAUGAGCUAGCUGGAACCAUUUCCUAUGCUGUGGAAAGAACACUUGAAUAAGGUUAACCAAGACAUUUCACCCUCCCAACCUCCCCCCUCCCCAUCUAUUUCUGGAUGUCUUCUUUUGUUCACCCUUUGCUAAUUAUAGUGGCCUUGCUUAGGUUAUAUUUAUAGUCUUAAAAGAGUUGCCUGACUUUUAGAACACUUUAUUCAUGUAUAUUUCCUGUGUUUAUUGUUGCCUUAACUAAUUUUUUAAAUUAAAAUUACUUGAUCCAAGAUUUUAUUUAGCAACAAAUAUCAAAGUAACUUUUCUUUCAACAAAUGAAGAGCUGUAUUUAGAUAUAAAAAAGCAUUUUUCUAUUUCUGAAUUUCUGAAAACAGAUUUUAGUUUCUUUCCAUCUCUAAGUGAUGUGUAUGACAGACAAUUCCAGAAUUAGAUUAAAUGAAAUUUCUUUCUUUUUUUCAUGGCAAUAUGAUUAUUUUGUAUCUGAGUUUAUUUAUUUAUUUAUUUAUUUAUUUUGUCUGUAAUGGUUGCUUUAAUGACUGUGGUGUUUCCAAAGGACAAUACUGAAUAUUUAUCUGCCUGGACUGCCCUGGUGUUUAUCUAACCACCUGGAACUGAACAUCUACCAGCUACAGAAAUGGAAAAAAGACAUCGAGGGUGUUCAUAUGAAAUUAUAGCUUCAUCUUCCUACUGGAACCAUGCUUUAUCUCUCCAAGUUUUCCUCAACCCCCUCUUAAAUCUGCCCUUUUAUUUGCUGUAGUUGCUCCACAAACAUGUUUGUAGUAAUGGCAAUAGCUACAACUUUCAGUCCUUCAUUCAAAACAGCAAAUAAAAACCAUUUCAGAGAGGGAAAAAAAAAAAAAAAAAAAAAAAAAAAGGAACAUGGCACAGAGUCUCAGAGCAGAGAAAACAGCUGUAUAGAAGAGGCUGAGUUUUGACCCUUAAUUUCACAGUAUUUUUAGGUUUAUGCACCUGGCGUUAGGUGCUGAUGCCCAGCAGGUGGGGCAGGCUCCCCGGCCUGGUGCAAGAGGGCCCUCAGGCCCUAACGGCCCCACCUGGCCCCAAUCUGUGACACCAUUUAAGCUCCAGCCGAGGCCAUGUUCUCCUUUAGGCUGUCUUAUGGGGUUUUUCCCUUAAGUGCUCCUUCAGUUGCUUCCUUUUUUUGGCUCGUCCCUUGACCUUGCAGCCCUCUGAGGCCUGUGCUGGUUGGCACGUGGGGCAGCAGGCUCAUGCCCAGCGGCUGUGAGGGGCAGUGCCUGCUGCCUCCAUGUGUGGAGAGUGGUGUCCUGCCCUCAUCCAAGCUAAAGACCUGGAGGAGAGAGCCAGCAGUUUGAAGUAUGUGGUAUUCAUGUCCUCCAGAGCAAUCUGAAAUAGCUGCUUUUUCUACAUGAUCAGAAGGAGCUGACAGCAUGGAUGGACAGAAGAGGGCCAUAUUCAAGAAAGACCUAGUCUUAUUCUAUUCUGCUUUGAUCUGAUGACUGCUGGAGACCCUGUAGGACUUGCCACUGCUCUGCUCAACCAGCUCCUGUGCUGUGGGACUGUGCUCUGUUGAAUGUGGACUUCAUCCCACAAUCUUACACUGAAGAAAAAAUGAGCUACAAAGAAUAAUGAUCCAUGAAUUCUAGAGAGCGACACAGACUAGGUGCUUUGCCUGGACUUCUUUUCCUACAGGGCAUGUGCAAUCAUACAACUGCUGUGAGUCAGCUUGGUGUGUUGGAAGCUUAUACUUUGAGAUGUGCAUUGGUUACCAUGGCAUAGAGUGAGUGAAGGAGCACAAGCAUGAGGGAGCACAGGUCCCUUAACUGCAGAGGUUGAUCCCUUUGAACUGCCGAAACCCGAUGACUUGCAAUCAAUAGUCUGUAAAACAAUAAGGUCAGCAAUGUGAAGAUUCGGAUUUUCCUGCCUCUAAAAGCAGACUGCUGUGCUGGGCCAGUGAGUGUCUGUGGCUUAAAUCAGAAGAGCUGCAAGAACUAGCGAGCCUUCACAGAGUCCAAUUUCUGCCUGGCAGAAAUUAGCUUGCAUCAAUUUGAAGAAAACCUACUGUAAUGACAUCUUCCUGUUGAGAGCGACCAGAACAGAUCAUGGGAAGGAGCACAGCAAAUAAGGAAAAAAACAAACACCAAAACUGUUGGGAAAACAGACAAGUUGUGGUUCUUAUGCUGAAGUAAACUGCAAAAACAUUGAAAAAAAUAAAAGUUCUUCAGGAUUAAAAGAAAGAGUGGAGAUAAAAUAAAUGUGGAACAAGCUAAAUGUGGAUGCAGAUAUCAUCACAGCAGAUCCGAGAGGCUCCCACCUCUGAGUAUGCUCCCACGAAAGCCUUUUUGGUCUGUACCAAUGAGAGGAAAUGGGAAAGGCUGUGAGCCACGGGCAUCUCCCCCACUGCCUCUGCCAUGCUGGUUCCUGAGGAUUUAGGAGGAGGAGAAGGGCUCCAGAGGAGCUGAAUGGUGCAGCUGCCCACAGGAGUAAAUGGCAUGCAGCCUGGCUCUUCUGCAGCAGCCAUGGAAGAACCUUCUUGGGGUUACCCACUGUGAGAAUGUCUCCUUAAACACCUGUGUAAUUCCUCUCAAAACCAUCUUGAAAUGCGCUGGCUUCUUACCCUGGGAUCUGUCGUCCUGUUCGGUUCGGGGCACCUCAGGCCUCCAUCACCUGCCUGCAGCCCUGGGAGUCAGCAUUGCAACCUCAGUCUGCUGGCGUGGGAGAGAAAGACCAAGCUCCAGUAGUAAUGUGCAUUUGUCAUGGAAACUGAUUUGAAUUUAAUUCUAAACCCUGUUUUGCACCAGGAAAAUAGUCUUUGCUUGAACUUGUCCUGUUCUGCUUCCUGCCCAUCAUAAUCACAUCGUUUCUCCUGCAACCUGAGCCCUUCUCAGUUCUGGAAACUGGUUGAGAUUCACCCAAUACUGCUUCCCAACAGAAAGCGAUUUCCUGUCUCAAAUGACUAAACUGUUGCAUUUAGAAGAGAAGGAAUUUAAUUUCACUGUCAUCCUCUGAGCUAACAAGAUGAUUCAUUGGUUUGCAUACGUACUGAAGGCUGCCAGUGAGGAGCAUGCUUUGUGUCUCUGGAAACAAUCGCAACAUAAAUAAUUGGAAGGAAAGAUUGCAGACAGGAAGCCAGGACGUUUGCUCGGUUGUUUUUGGCACUCCUGAUUCUUCAGUGUGGGCUUCCCGGCCAGGUGGUAGGUGCGGGGCGGUGUCAGCAGUGUCACCGGCUGCUCCCGGCCCCAGGACCGGAGCCGAGGCCGGGCUGCGGCAGCCGCCGGCGGAGCGGAGCCCCCGGGGCAGCAGCGGGCGCGCUCGGCCCGCCCCGAGCCCAGCAGAGGGCGCUGCAACACCGCGCCUGCUGCCGCCAGCUGGGGAAUCUAGAUAACGUGGUUCAUUGAAGAUAACACCUGAAAGGUCUUCCAAAGAGCGCACGUCUGUGCAUGCAAAACAAAGCAGCUCAAAGCCCUCUUUCUGGCUCACAUCCCCAGAACAGACACAGAGGGGAAAAAAACCUGUCUACGACCUGACGUUUCCUUUGCUGCAUCUGUGUGUCGGUGUGUGGAUGGGCAUGAAUAGCAGGAGGGGACAGAGGAUGGCUUUCAAGCUUUACAACUUAGACAGGCUGCCUCCAACAGAAACAUUUAAUUCUCAUUCACAGUUUACUGUGAACAAAAACUUCAACACUUCUAAGAAAUUAUAAAAGAAAGUGAUGAGCACAUAAGAUUCUUGCUACAUCUGUUAUGGAGCAGAAAAAAACUACACAGAAUCCUAGAAGCCUGGGGAGAGGAACAGAGAAACUGGAGGAAAGAGCCGGAUCCCAGGGACAGGUACAUACAUCUCUGGGCAUCUUCAGCCUUGUUUGCAAGUCCGUCAUGGUUUUGUGUUCUGUUUGUCCCUCUGUUGCCUGAGCAUUGCCAUCACGAGGCUGAAUGUUAUGCACUCUGUGGUGAUUUAAUGUACUGAAAAACAAAGGAAUGGCAAAAAAAAAAUGAAUGUUUUUGUUCUAAAUGUUAGAAACGCUGAUGGACUCAGGGACGAAGAUGCUAUUGAAUACACAGAAGAGGCCCAAGAAAAACAGAGGUGAGGAGCUUGGGGAAACUGUGGCCUCCUGCCUUUUCAGGACCCAUGACAGUUCCCUGGUGGCCCCGGGGCUGAGCACCAGGACAUCACUGUGGCAGAGAGGAGACAGGCACCUUUCUCUCCAGCAUCAUGAAAUAAAUCUUCAUGAAAAUUAGAGCCACUUACAGCAAGACAAGAAGAAAUACUUACACAACUC